GGAUGUGAGGGCAAUCUGGCUGUGACAUCUGUCACCCCACUAAUCGCCAGGGUUGAUUCGGCUGAUCUGGCUGGCUAGGUGGGUGUCCCCUUCCUCCCUCACCACUCUGUGUGUGUCCCUCCUGAAGCUGCGCACUCGGUCGAAGAGGACAACCAUCCCCGAUAAAGGAGGACUGGUCUUCAGUCAAGGGUAUACAAGUAGCUGCGCUCCCCUGCUAGAACCUUCAAAGAAGCUUUCAAAAUAAUGUAGAAGAGCGACAAUAUUUAUUAAUAUGUAUUUAAUAAAUAUAUUUUUUGGUUAAAAUAAUAU
ensembl:misc_RNA 7SK 7SK RNA